AGAGUUUGAUCCUGGCUCAGGACGAACGCUGGCGGCGUGCUUAACACAUGCAAGUCGAACGGAAAGGCCCUUUCGGGGGUGCUCGAGUGGCGAACGGGUGAGUAACACGUGGGUGAUCUGCCCUGCACUUCGGGAUAAGCUUGGGAAACUGGGUCUAAUACCGGAUAGGACCAUGGUCUGCAUGGAUUGUGGUGGAAAGCUUUUGCGGUGUGGGAUGGGCCCGCGGCCUAUCAGCUUGUUGGUGGGGUGAUGGCCUACCAAGGCGACGACGGGUAGCCGGCCUGAGAGGGUGUCCGGCCACACUGGGACUGAGAUACGGCCCAGACUCCUACGGGAGGCAGCAGUGGGGAAUAUUGCACAAUGGGCGCAAGCCUGAUGCAGCGACGCCGCGUGGGGGAUGACGGCCUUCGGGUUGUAAACCUCUUUCAGUGGGGACGAAGCGUAAGUGACGGUACCUACAGAAGAAGCACCGGCCAACUACGUGCCAGCAGCCGCGGUAAUACGUAGGGUGCGAGCGUUGUCCGGAAUUACUGGGCGUAAAGAGCUCGUAGGUGGUUUGUCGCGUUGUUCGUGAAAACCGGAGGCUCAACCUCUGGCGUGCGGGCGAUACGGGCAGACUGGAGUACUGCAGGGGAGACUGGAAUUCCUGGUGUAGCGGUGGAAUGCGCAGAUAUCAGGAGGAACACCGGUGGCGAAGGCGGGUCUCUGGGCAGUAACUGACGCUGAGGAGCGAAAGCGUGGGGAGCGAACAGGAUUAGAUACCCUGGUAGUCCACGCCGUAAACGGUGGGUACUAGGUGUGGGUUUCCUUCCUUGGGAUCCGUGCCGUAGCUAACGCAUUAAGUACCCCGCCUGGGGAGUACGGCCGCAAGGCUAAAACUCAAAGGAAUUGACGGG
rnacentral:rRNA from 1 species